UACGAAGGGGGCUAGCGUUGCUCGGAAUUACUGGGCGUAAAGCGCACGUAGGCGGAUCUUUAAGUCAGGGGUGAAAUCCUGGAGCUCAACCCCGGAACUGCCCUUGAAACUGGAGAGCUAGAAUCUUGGAGAGGCGAGUGGAAUUCCGAGUGUAGAGGUGAAAUUCGUAGAUAUUCGGAAGAACACCAGUGGCGAAGGCGACUCGCUGGACAAGUAUUGACGCUGAGGUGCGAAAGCGUGGGGAGCAAACAGG
rnacentral:rRNA from 1 species